rnacentral:rRNA from 1 species
GGUUUCCGUAGGUGAACCUGCGGAAGGAUCAUUACCGAUGUAAUCCAAAAGCACGACUCCGUCGUGACUACCGUGUGAACCGUACCAAACUAUUCAGGGGUCGGCCAGUCCGUUAAAUGGCGGUCGGACGCGUGCGUUGCGCGCGGCCGCUCCGCCAGCCCCGCCUGUGUUUUUUUAACAUACGUGUCUUGUCUGAAAACGUGACCACUGCCGUGGUCCAGAGCAAAGAAAAAGAGAGACAACUUUUGACGGUGGAUCUCUUGGCUCACGCAUCGAUGAAGAACGCAGCCAGCUGCGAUAAGUAGUGUGAAUUGCAGAAUUCAGUGAAUCAUCGAAUCUUUGAACGCAAAUGGCGCUCUUGGGUUCUCCCAGGAGCAUGUCUGUCUGAGUGUCGGAUAUCAUCCAACGCACCUAGUCGUGCGGCGUUGAGGCGUCACGGCCCUUCUCGCGGCCGUGUCCCUUGAAAGUCAGAGAGACUCGCCGCGGCACGGGUUCGUUCCCUGCACACACUCGCGGAGGCUAAAAACGCUUUUGCCCUUCGCGUGCACGGGAGCGGCCCGCCCGCCGAGUCGCGGAGGCGAACACUUUUCAACUCUUGACCUCAGAUCAG